rnacentral:rRNA from 1 species
GACGAACCGAGCGAACGUUAUUCGGAAUCACUGGGCUUAAAGCGCGUGUAGGCGGGGCGGCACGUCGGUCGCUGAAAUCCCCCGGCUCAACCGGGGAACGGGCGCCGAUACGACCGCCCUGGAGGGGCGUAGGGGGACCUGGAACUUCCGGUGGAGCGGUGAAAUGCGUUGAGAUCGGAAGGAACGCCCGUGGCGAAAGCGAGGUCCUGGACGCCUACUGACGCUGAGACGCGAAAGCCAGGGGAGCGAACGGG